AAAAAUAACAAUUUAAGUAUCUACACACAAUUAUAAUAUUAAAAUGAAAAAUAAAUAAUUACGACUAGAUUGUCGUGUAGUGAAACGUUGUAAGUCAAUUGACAUACAGACGUUAUUGGCAUUUAAUGAAACACGAAUUUUCUCCGGCUUCAGAUAGCAUACUACAAUUUUAAUGUUAUUAUGGAAGAAAAAAAGAAUCGUGGGUCCAAUUAUAUACGACUACCGAAAAGGAUAUCCUUUUAGGGCUGAUCAAGAAGCAUAAUGAUAUUACAGAGAAUAAAGAGACCAACGCCCAUAUGAAAAAAAAAGAAAGAUGCUUGGGAUUCUAUGUGUCAGCACUAUAAUCAUGAUGUAGCUGUCCAGAACAUGGCAGCAUACCCCGUCGCCGCCUAUACUGUUAUAGUUAUAAUAAUAAAACUAUUUUACUAUGAUUGAAAA